rnacentral:rRNA from 1 species
GAGACAGCAGUAGCCGCGGUAAUACGAAGGGUGCAAGCGUUAAUCGGAAUUACUGGGCGUAAAGCGUGCGUAGGCGGUUUGUUAAGUCUGCUGUGAAAUCCCCGGGCUCAACCUGGGAAUGGCAGUGGAUACUGGCAAGCUAGAGUGUGUCAGAGGAUGGUGGAAUUCCCGGUGUAGCGGUGAAAUGCGUAGAGAUCGGGAGGAACAUCAGUGGCGAAGGCGGCCAUCUGGGACAACACUGACGCUGAGGCACGAAAGCGUGGGGAGCAAACAGGAUUAGAGACCCCUGUAGUCCCUGUCUCUUAUAC